rnacentral:pre_miRNA from 1 species
CACCUACUCCCUCCGUCCGAAAAUACUUGUCAUCAAAAUGGAUAAAAGAAGAUGUAUCUAGAACUAAAAUACAUCUAGGUACAUUCCCUUUUAUCCAUUUUGAUGACAAGUUUUUCCGGACGGAGGGAGCAUAAG